GCGAGGCUCGUCUAAAUAGGACAGCUGAUUUCGACUCAGCAAAUUAUGUUUUAAUCAUAGCCCCACA
rnacentral:tRNA from 1 species